UACGUAGGGUGCGAGCGUUUGUCCGGAAUUACUGGGCGUAAAGAGCUCGUAGGUGGUUUGUCGCGUUGUUCGUGAAAACCGGGGGCUUAACCCUCGGCGUGCGGGCGAUACGGGCAGACUUGAGUACUGCAGGGGAGACUGGAAUUCCUGGUGUAGCGGUGGAAUGCGCAGAUAUCAGGAGGAACACCAGUGGCGAAGGCGAGUCUCUGGACGACACCUGACACUGAGGCACGAAAGCUAGGGAGCAAACCAGG
rnacentral:rRNA from 1 species